rnacentral:rRNA from 1 species
ACACUAUGUGUUGUUGGGUAGGGGAGCGUUCUGUAAGCCUGUGAAGGUGUACUGUGAGGUAUGCUGGAGGUAUCAGAAGUGCGAAUGCUGACAUAAGUAACGAUAAAGCGGGUGAAAAGCCCGCUCGCCGGAAGACCAAGGGUUCCUGUCCAACGUUAAUCGGGGCAGGGUGAGUCGACCCCUAAGGCGAGGCCGAAAGGCGUAGUCGAUGGGAAACAGGUUAAUAUUCCUGUACUUGGUGUUACUGCGAAGGGGGGACGGAGAAGGCUAUGUUGGCCGGGCGACGGUUGUCCCGGUUUAAGCGUGUAGGCUGGUUUUCCAGGCAAAUCCGGAAAAUCAAGGCUGAGGCGUGAUGACGAGGCACUACGGUGCUGAAGCAACAAAUGCCCUGCUUCCAGGAAAAGCCUCUAAGCAUCAGGUAACAUCAAAUCGUACCCCAAACCGACACAGGUGGUCAGGUAGAGAAUACCAAGGCGCUUGAGAGAACUCGGGUGAAGGAACUAGGCAAAAUGGUGCCGUAACUUCGGGAGAAGGCACGC